rnacentral:rRNA from 1 species
UACGGGAGGCAGCAGUGGGGAAUAUUGCACAAUGGGCGCAAGCCUGAUGCAGCCAUGCCGCGUGUAUGAAGAAGGCCUUCGGGUUGUAAAGUACUUUCAGUCGUGAGGAAGGUGUUAAGGUUAAUAACCUUAGCAAUUGACGUUAGCGACAGAAGAAGCACCGGCUAACUCCGUGCCAGCAGCCGCGGUAAUACGGAGGGUGCGAGCGUUAAUCGGAAUUACUGGGCGUAAAGGGCACGCAGGCGGUUAAUUAAGUUGGAUGUGAGAUCCCCGGGCUUAACCUGGGAAUGGCAUUCAAGACUGGUUAGCUAGAGUCUUGUAGAGGGGGUAGAAUUCCAUGUGUAGCGGUGAAAUGCGUAGAGAUGUGGAGGAAUACCGGUGGCGAAGGCGGCCCCUGGACAAGACUGACGCUCAUGUGCGAAAGCGUGGGGAGCAAACGAGGAUUAGAUACC